GACGAACGCUGGCGGCGUGCUUAACACAUGCAAGUCGAACGGAAAGGCCCUGCUUUUGUGGGGUGCUCGAGUGGCGAACGGGUGAGUAACACGUGAGUAACCUGCCCUUGACUUUGGGAUAACUUCAGGAAACUGGGGCUAAUACCGGAUAGGAGCUCCUGCUGCAUGGUGGGGGUUGGAAAGUUUCGGCGGUUGGGGAUGGACUCGCGGCUUAUCAGCUUGUUGGUGGGGUAGUGGCUUACCAAGGCUUUGACGGGUAGCCGGCCUGAGAGGGUGACCGGCCACAUUGGGACUGAGAUACGGCCCAGACUCCUACGGGAGGCAGCAGUGGGGAAUAUUGCACAAUGGGCGGAAGCCUGAUGCAGCAACGCCGCGUGCGGGAUGACGGCCUUCGGGUUGUAAACCGCUUUCGCCUGUGACGAAGCGUGAGUGACGGUAAUGGGUAAAGAAGCACCGGCUAACUACGUGCCAGCAGCCGCGGUGAUACGUAGGGUGCGAGCGUUGUCCGGAUUUAUUGGUCGUAAAGGGCUCGUAGGUGGUUGAUCGCGUCGGAAGUGUAAUCUUGGGGCUUAACCCUGAGCGUGCUUUCGAUACGGGUUGACUUGAGGAAGGUAGGGGAGAAUGGAAUUCCUGGUGGAGCGGUGGAAUGCGCAGAUAUCAGGAGGAACACCAGUGGCGAAGGCGGUUCUCUGGGCCUUUCCUGACGCUGAGGAGCGAAAGCGUGGGGAGCGAACAGGCUUAGAUACCCUGGUAGUCCACGCUGUAAACGGUGGGUACUAGGUGUGGGGUCCAUUCCACGGGUUCCGUGCCGUAGCUAACGCUUUAAGUACCCCGCCUGGGGAGUACGGCCGCAAGGCUAAAACUCAAAGGAAUUGACGGGGCCCCGCACAAGCGGCGGAGCAUGCGGAUUAAUUCGAUGCAACGCGUAGAACCUUACCUGGGUUUGACAUGGAUCGGGAGCGCUCAGAGAUGGGUGUGCCUCUUUUGGGGUCGGUUCACAGGUGGUGCAUGGCUGACGUCAGCUCGUGUCGUGAGAUGUUGGGUUAAGUCCCGCAACGAGCGCAACCCUUGUUCACUGUUGCCAGCACGUUAUGGUGGGGACUCAGUGGAGACCGCCGGGGUCAACUCGGAGGAAGGUGGGGAUGAUGUCAAGUCAUCAUGCCCCUUAUGUCCAGGGCUUCACGCAUGCUACAAUGGCUGGUACAGAGAGUGGCGAGCCUGUGAGGGUGAGCGAAUCUCGGAAAGCCGGUCUCAGUUCGGAUUGGGGUCUGCAACUCGACCUCAUGAAGUCGGAGUCGCUAGUAAUCGCAGAUCAGCAACGCUGCGGUGAAUACGUUCCCGGG
rnacentral:rRNA from 1 species